rnacentral:rRNA from 1 species
AGCGAACGCUGGCGGCAGGCCUAACACAUGCAAGUCGAACGAUCCUUCGGGAUAGUGGCGGACGGGUGAGUAACACGUGGGAACGUGCCCUUUGGUUCGGAACAACUCAGGGAAACUUGAGCUAAUACCGGAUGUGCCCUUCGGGGGAAAGAUUUAUCGCCAUUGGAGCGGCCCGCGUUGGAUUAGCUAGUUGGUGGGGUAAAGGCCCACCAAGGCUACGAUCCAUAGCUGGUCUGAGAGGAUGAUCAGCCACACUGGGACUGAGGCACGGCCCAGACUCCUACGGGAGGCAGCAGUGGGGAAUCUUGCGCAAUGGGCGAAAGCCUGACGCAGCCAUGCCGCGUGAAUGAUGAAGGUCUUAGGAUUGUAAAAUUCUUUCACCGGGGACGAUAAUGACGGUACCCGGAGAAGAAGCCCCGGCUAACUUCGUGCCAGCCGCCGCAGUAAAAC